AGCUCUCUCUUCACUAUGACCUUCUUCCCCCUUCCAUGUAGUUUAAGCUGCUGCCUAGAGCGUUUGGACAGCCUUUUUCUGCUGCCGGCCAAGCUGUCUCUCUGCCUUUUCCACACUGCACCUCACCCAGCAGUCAAAGUAGGCAGUCCCUCGGAUUCCUACCGCAGUGCUCUGGCUCAAGACCUUCCGGCACUUGUUACAUAUGUAUCUUAUUGUGAUUCUUCUUCACCUUGUUCUCUGACUGCCCCGGUGGGACAGCGAUUCUUGGUUGUUCACCCUUCAAUCUCUCUGGCUUACAAGAAGAGUUCCUCUCUUGCAGCCUGAGUUGCCAUCUCAGUUGAACCAUUCGUUGCAAGCUGCUGGUCGGCCGCAACAAUUUGGCGCCUGAACAGGGACCUGAAGAAUGGCAGAAGGGCACUGAGAAAACGCUGUUGGUGUGGAGCUCCACGGGAAAGGCAAAGGAUCUUCGUAUCGGGCACCAGAACAAGGAACAGGCUAUGGUACAGCUAACCCAACAAUGGCAGGCUAUGAAUGGAAAGUCCAAGGAUCCAGUAGUCUCUCAGUUCAUGAGGCUGGAUGUCACAACUGGUCUUCAGCAUCACUGGGAUGCUCCUGCUUCCUGACCUGCUUGAGUUCCAGUCCUGACUUCCUUUGAUGAUGAACAGCAACAUGGAAGUGUAAGCCGAAUAAACCCUUUCCUCCCUAA
rnacentral:lncRNA from 1 species